rnacentral:snoRNA from 1 species
UUGCAGCCAAUUAAGCCAACCAUGAUCUUUUCCCCAUGGGGCCCUGUGUGCAAUGGCUGCAAACAGCAGCCUCCUUGGUAUGAAUGCAGCCUGUUCCUGUAUAGGUUGCCCUAAGGGACCUUAGAGACAGUC